CUACGGGGCGCAGCAGUGGGGAAUAUUGGACAAUGGGGGAAACCCUGAUCCAGCAAUGCCGCGUGUGUGAAGAAGGCCUGCGGGUUGUAAAGCACUUUCGGUUGGGAGGACUGCUUCUAGCACUAAUAUUGUUGGAAGUUGACGUUACCUUCAGAAGAAGCACCGGCUAACUCCGUGCCAGCAGCCGCGGUAAUACGGAGGGUGCAAGCGUUAAUCGGAAUUACUGGGCGUAAAGCGCGCGUAGGCGGCUAGAUCAGUCGGGUGUGAAAGCCCCGGGCUUAACCUGGGAACUGCAUCCGAUACUGUCUAGCUUGAGGACAGGAGAGGAGAGUGGAAUUCCACAUGUAGCGGUGAAAUGCGUAGAUAUGCGGAGGAACACCAAUGGCGAAGGCAGCUCUCUGGCCUGAUACUGACGCUGAGGCGUGAAAGCGUGGGGAGCAAACAGGAUUAGAUACCCUAGUAGUC
rnacentral:rRNA from 1 species